rnacentral:rRNA from 1 species
AUCCAGCCAUGCCGCGUGAGUGAUGAAGGCCCUAGGGUCGUAAAGCUCUUUCGCCUGUGAAGAUAAUGACUGUAGCAGGUAAAGAAACCCCGGCUAACUCCGUGCCAGCAGCCGCGGUAAUACGGAGGGGGUUAGCGUUGUUCGGAAUUACUGGGCGUAAAGCGCGCGUAGGCGGACUGGAAAGUUGGGGGUGAAAUCCCAGGGCUCAACCCUGGAACUGCCUCCAAAACUAUCAGUCUAGAGUUCGAGAGAGGUGAGUGGAAUUCCGAGUGUAGAGGUGAAAUUCGUAGAUAUUCGGAGGAACACCAGUGGCGAAGGCGGCUCACUGGCUCGAUACUGACGCUGAGGUGCGAAAGUGUGGGGAGCAAACAGGAUUAGAUACCCUGGUAGUCCACACCGUAAACGAUGAAUGCCAGUCGUCGGGUAGCAUGCUAUUCGGUGACACACCUAACGGAUUAAGCAUUCCGCCUGGGGAGUACGGUCGCAAGAUUAAAACUCAAAGGAA